AAGAACAAAGAUGUCAUAAGGUUCCAUAUCAUGAUGUAUCAUAAUUAUCGACAUUUUCUUGCACUGUAUAGUUUGGGAGCUUUUAUUUGACAUUAAAUAUGUUGGCGCCGUUUUAUUAAAUAUGUUAGCUCAAAAGAGAUAAACCGCUGCUUUAGCAAUUUAUAUUAACUCUUGGUGAGAGGGAAUCUUAAAAAGAUCCAAUUAAUGCCUUAUUGCUUUCAUUUAUUUAUCUGUAAAACGCGACUGAUAAUUGCUUGUUUUUGUUCAGGUUUGGACUCUGGUCGUGUGGGGGCUAUACCUGUGGGGUAUACACUACUUGUAUAUUGAUUUAUAGAUCCUGGGGAUAAAUGAUCCUAUAUGGAAACCCCAGUGUUCUAAUUUACUUAUAAUUAAUUAACCCUAUUAUUAAAGCCCUUCAGAUCCUGAA